rnacentral:rRNA from 1 species
GCACAACGCGAAGAACCUUACCCACCUUUGACAUGUACGGAAUCCUUUAGAGAUAGAGGAGUGCUCGAAAGAGAGCCGUAACACAGGUGCUGCAUGGCUGUCGUCAGCUCGUGUCGUGAGAUGUUGGGUUAAGUCCCGCAACGAGCGCAACCCUUGUCAUUAGUUGCUACGAAAGGGCACUCUAAUGAGACUGCCGGUGACAAACCGGAGGAAGGUGGGGAUGACGUCAAGUCCUCAUGGCCCUUAUAGGUGGGGCUACACACGUCAUACAAUGGCCGGUACAAAGGGCAGCCAACCCGCGAGGGGGGAGCCAAUCCCAUAAAGCCGGUCGUAGUCCGGAUCGCAGUCUGCAACUCGACUGCGUGAAGUCGGAAUCGCUAGUAAUCGUGGAUCAGCAUGUCACGGUGAAUACGUUCCCGGGUCUUGUACACACCG